CUGGAGAAACGGAACAUCCUCGAAGAAUUCAUCAUGGUUUAAAUCCAAACCUGCAGAGGCAAAAAAAAAAUAGAUUGAUUGUUAUUAACAAUCCAGAGGAGGAGCAUGGAGCAUGUUUACUGUACAGGAAAUAGAGACAAGACCUUUGGAGGAUGUUACAGCAUUAGAAUAUGAUUGGUACUAUACUAAAUUAUAGCUGCAGGCUGUCCGCUCCACUGGCUGGCUGGCUGCAGCACUGCUGCAAGAGCUAGGUCGCAUAGAAAGGACACCGCGUUGGAAAACUACACCAAUUAUUUAAGAUGCGCUAUUUAAAAAUGUAGUGUUAGUGUGUGGUAAUGAUGAUGAGAACUUUCUGUGUGAAAAAAAACAUGAGACUCCAAUUCAUAUCUUCAUGACCAGCCCAUAAUUGUGAACAUAUUUCAAUAAAACUGUGCUAUUUCUUUU